GCUACGGGAGGCAGCAGUGAGGAAUAUUGGUCAAUGGACGAGAGUCUGAACCAGCCAAGUAGCGUGAAGGAUGACUGCCCUAUGGGUUGUAAACUUCUUUUAUAAAGGAAUAAAACGACGCACGUGUGCCUUUUUGCAUGUACUUUAUGAAUAAGGAUCGGCUAACUCCGUGCCAGCAGCCGCGGUAAUACGGAGGAUCCGAGCGUUAUCCGGCUUUAUUGGGUUUAAAGGGAGCGUAGAUGGGUUGUUAUGUUAGUUGUGAAAGUUUGCGGCUCAACCGUAAAAUUUCAAUUGAUACUGGCAGUCUUGAUUACAGUUGAGGUAGGCGGAAUUCGUGGUGUAGUGGUGAAAUGCUUAGAUAUCACGAAGAACCCCGAUUGCGAAGGCAGCUUACUAAACUGUGACUGACAUUGAUGCUCGAAAGUGUGGGUAUCAAACAGGAUUAGAUACCCUUGUAGUC
rnacentral:rRNA from 1 species